rnacentral:misc_RNA from 1 species
CGUAAGUGAACGAAAACUAGGGUAAGCUCACAAAAAGCUCUGACCCCUAGGUCUCCGAAUGGGGAAACCCGGCUAUGGAAGACAUAGUCAUCACUAAGUGAAUACAUAGCUUAGUGAAGUAAGACCCUGUGAACUGAAACAUCUAAGUAACAGGAGGAAAAGAAAGAAAACUCGAUUUUCCAAGUAGCGGCGAGCGAAAAG